rnacentral:rRNA from 1 species
GACGAACGCUGGCGGCGUGCUUAACACAUGCAAGUCGAACGGAAAGGCCCCUUUGGGGGUACUCGAGUGGCGAACGGGUGAGUAACACGUGAGUAACCUGCCCUUGACUUCGGGAUAACUUCAGGAAACUGGGGCUAAUACCGGAUAGGAAUCCUUGCUGCAUGGUGGGGGUUGGAAAGCUUCGGCGGUUUUGGAUGGACUCGCGGCUUAUCAGCUUGUUGGUGGGGUAGUGGCUUACCAAGGAUGUGACGGGUAGCCGGCCUGAGAGGGCGACCGGCCACAUUGGGACUGAGAUACGGCCCAGACUCCUACGGGAGGCAGCAGUGGGGAAUAUUGCACAAUGGGCGGAAGCCUGAUGCAGCAACGCCGCGUGCGGGAUGACGGCCUUCGGGUUGUAGACCGCUUUCAGCAGGGGCGAAGCUUGUGGUGACGGUACCUGCAGAAGAAGCACCGGCUAACUACGUG